UUAAAAUCAACUCGGACAGAAAGAUUGAAACUGCGAGAAAAAGAUUCGAGAAAGCGCGCGAGACAGCAACCACCGCUUUCAGGAAUGAGGCAUUUAGUAUCGAAGAUCGAAUUUUUGCUGCGAAGCUACGUUGGUAUGUUUGGAAAUUCAGCAGCAAGUGUCCAUUGGAAGUGCAUGCCAACGAUUGAACUUCAUGAUCGUAGUUUUCACCCAAUAAGAAAUUGGAAGGAGAUUUCAACAAGAAAGUCGAUGGGAGAGCAAUUGCCUUAUCCUCCCUACGAACAGUUCCUUGACGAAGAAAUAAUACCCGACCUAUCAGCUGUGAACAGUCAGGGGGAUGUUUUUACUUUCCCUGAUACUGGGUCUGGUGACAACAUCAUGAUUAUCCAUGAGGCAGGAAAAAUCAAACGGGUUGAAUUACCUGAAUUUGCAGCUCCUGUUGGUGGUCAUUUGGGUCGCUGGUCCUCUUAGAUAGAUAUUAUCCCGAUGAAAAUUGCAAGCAUAAUCGAUCCAGAAAAUUUUCAGAUGCAUGGCGGGAAAAGACUGCCCAGGGGUUGCGAAAGAAGAAAAAGAUUGCUACGCCAACAGUACAUGCAACCCAGAUAACUGUGAUUUUACGCGCGGUAGUUACUGUCAUUGGACCCGUUAUAAAAACAUGGAUUACUUCUGGCAAGCACAUAAAGGAUCAAC